UGGGGAAUAUUGGACAAUGGGCGAAAGCCUGAUCCAGCCAUGCCGCGUGUGUGAAGAAGGCCUUUUGGUUGUAAAGCACUUUAAGCGAGGAGGAGGCUACUUGGAUUUAUACUCUAGGAUAGUGGACGUUACUCGCAGAAUAAGCACCGGCUAACUCUGUGCCAGCAGCCGCGGUAAUACAGAGGGUGCGAGCGUUAAUCGGAUUUACUGGGCGUAAAGCGUGCGUAGGCGGCUUUUUAAGUCGGAUGUGAAAUCCCUGAGCUUAACUUAGGAAUUGCAUUCGAUACUGGGAAGCUAGAGUAUGGGAGAGGAUGGUAGAAUUCCAGGUGUAGCGGUGAAAUGCGUAGAGAUCUGGAGGAAUACCGAUGGCGAAGGCAGCCAUCUGGCCUAAUACUGACGCUGAGGUACGAAAGCAUGGGGAGCAAACAGG
rnacentral:rRNA from 1 species